AGCAGCCGCGGUAAUUCCAGCUCCAAUAGCGUAUAUUAAAGUUGUUGCAGUUAAAAAGCUCGUAGUUGAAUUUCGGAGUUCUACCGUCGGUCGGGCUACCAAGUCUGUACUGGUGUGUAGAAUUCCUACCUUCUGGGGAACUAUCAUGUUAUUAAUUUAGCGUGGUGGGAAACCAGGACCUUUACCUUGAAAAAUUAGAGUGUUCAAAGCAGGCAUAUGUCUGAAUACAUUAGCAUGGAAUAAUAGAAUAGGACGGUGGUCCUGUUUUGUUGGUUUCUGAAUCACCGUAAUGAUUAAUAGGGAUAGUUGGGGGCAUUAGUAUUCAAUUGUCAGAGGUGAAAUUCUUGGAUUUAUUGAAGACUAACUUCUGCGAAAGCAUUUGCCAAGGAUGUUUUCAU
rnacentral:misc_RNA from 1 species